rnacentral:ribozyme from 1 species
AGUAUCAUAUAUGUAUGAAUUUAUGAAAUGAAAUGAAUGAAUCGAAAAGAGAAAGAAAACAUUAGAAAGAAUAAUUUAAAAAAUAAUCGUAGAUUUCCUCUUUUUUUGGUUAUUCCGUUUUUCAUUUUUGGCCUCAUUCA